rnacentral:rRNA from 1 species
CAGAAGCUGGAGCUUGCUCUGGUGGAUAUAGUGGCGAACGGGUGAGUAACACGUGAGUCAACCUGCCCUUGACUCUGGAAUAAGCGUUGGAAACGACGUCUAAUACCGGAUACGAGCUUCCGCCGCAUGGUGAGGAGCUGGAAAGAAUUUCGGUCAAGGAUGGACUCGCGGCCUAUCAGGUAGUUGGUGAGGUAAUGGCUCACCAAGCCUACGACGGGUAGCCGGCCUGAGAGGGUGACCGGCCACACUGGAACUGAGACACGGUCCAGACUCCUACGGGAGGCAGCAGUGGGGAAUAUUGCACAAUGGGCGCAAGCCUGAUGCAGCAACGCCGCGUGAGGGACGACGGCCUUCGGGUUGUAAACCUCUUUUAGUAGGGAAGAAGCGAAAGUGACGGUACCUGCAGAAAAAGCACCGGCUAACUACGUGCCAGCAGCCGCGGUAAUACGUAGGGUGCAAGCGUUAUCCGGAAUUAUUGGGCGUAAAGAGCUCGUAGGCGGUUUGUCGCGUCUGCUGUGAAAACUGGGGGCUCAACCCCCAGCCUGCAGUGGGUACGGGCAGACUAGAGUGCGGUAGGGGAGAUUGGAAUUCCUGGUGUAGCGGUGGAAUGCGCAGAUAUCAGGAGGAACACCAAUGGCGAAGGCAGAUCUCUGGGCCGUUACUGACGCUGAGGAGCGAAAGCAUGGGGAGCGAACAGGAUUAGAUACCCUGGUAGUCCAUGCCGUAAACGUUGGGAACUAGAUGUAGGGGCCAUUCCACGGUUUCUGUGUCGCAGCUAACGCAUUAAGUUCCCCGCCUGGGGAGUACGGCCGCAAGGCUAAAACUCAAAGGAAUUGACGGGGGCCCGCACAAGCGGCGGAGCAUGCGGAGUUAAUUCGAUGCAACGCGAAGAAC